AGAGUUUGAUCCUGGCUCAGGACGAACGCUGGCGGCGUGCUAAUACAUGCAAGUCGAGCGCAGGAAGCAGACAGAAGCCUUCGGGCGGACGUCUGUGGAAUGAGCGGCGGAUGGGUGAGUAACACGUGGGCAACCUACCUGUAAGCCUGGGAUAACUCACGGAAACGUGAGCUAAUACCGGAUGACGCUAACGGUCGCAUGACGGUUAGCUGAAAGGCGGCUUCGGCUGUCACUUACAGAUGGGCCCGCGGCGCAUUAGCUAGUUGGUGGGGUAACGGCCUACCAAGGCGACGAUGCGUAGCCGACCUGAGAGGGUGAUCGGCCACACUGGGACUGAGACACGGCCCAGACUCCUACGGGAGGCAGCAGUAGGGAAUCUUCCGCAAUGGACGCAAGUCUGACGGAGCAACGCCGCGUGGAUGAGGAAGGUCUUCGGAUCGUAAAAUCCUGUUGUAAGGGAAGAACAAGUACCGGAGUAAUAUGCCGGUACCUUGACGGUACCUUACCAGAAAGCCCCGGCUAACUACGUGCCAGCAGCCGCGGUAAUACGUAGGGGGCGAGCGUUGUCCGGAAUUAUUGGGCGUAAAGGGCGCGUAGGCGGUCUCUUAAGUCUGAUGUGAAAGCCCCCGGCUUAACCGGGGAGGGUCAUUGGAAACUGGGAGACUUGAGUGCAGAAGAGGAGAGUGGAAUUCCACGUGUAGCGGUGAAAUGCGUAGAGAUGUGGAGGAACACCAGUGGCGAAGGCGGCUCUCUGGUCUGUAACUGACGCUGAGGCGCGAAAGCGUGGGGAGCAACAGGAUUAGAUACCCUGGUAGUCCACGCCGUAAACGAUGAGUGCUAGGUGUUAGGGGCUUUCCAGCCCUUAGUGCUGCAGUUAACGCAUUAAGCACUCCGCCUGGGGAGUACGGCCGCAAGGCUGAAACUCAAAGGAAUUGACGG
rnacentral:rRNA from 1 species